CCCAUAACUUAUUUUUGGGUUUUCUCUUGGUCCCUUAACUAUUAAAAGUUUUGUUUUGGUCCCUUAACUUAUUUUUUGGUUUUAUUUUGGUCCCUUAACUCUAAUACAUUCAUCCUAACAUAAAGGACCAAAGUGGUUGACGGACGAAGAGCUAAGGGACCAGAACGAAAUCAAAAAGUAAGUUAAAGGACCAAAAUGAAGCUUUUAAUAAUUAAGGGACCAAAACAAACCAAAAAGUAAGUUAAGGGA
rfam:Medicago truncatula strain A17 chromosome 2, whole genome shotgun sequence.